rnacentral:rRNA from 1 species
UGGUUUGAUUCUGGCUCAGGAUGAACGCUGGCGGCAUGCCUAAUACAUGCAAGUCGAACGGAGUGAAGCCUUCGGGUUUCAUUCAGUGGCGAACGGGUGAGUAAUACGCAGGGAACCUGGCCAUGGCAGGGGGAUACACUCUGGAAACGGAGCAUAAGACCCCAUAGGCAGUAAGGCGGCAUCGCCUUACUGUUAAAGAAAGCUGAAAGGCUUUGGCGAUGGAUGGACCUGCGGUGCAUUAGCUUGUUGGUGAGGCAACGGCUUACCAAGGCGAUGAUGCAUAGCCGGCCUGAGAGGGCGGACGGCCACACUGGGACUGAGACACGGCCCAGACUCCUGCGGGAGGCAGCAGUAGGGAAUUUUCGUCAAUGGGCGCAAGCCUGAACGAGCAAUGCCGCGUGAGUGAGGAAGGUCUUCGGACUGUAAAGCUCUGUUGCCGGGGAAAAAGGGGAAAUGCAGGAAAUGGCAUUUCAUGGAUGGUACCCGGCCAGAAAGCCACGGCUAACUACGUGCCAGCAGCCGCGGUAAUACGUAGGUGGCGAGCGUUAUCCGGAAUGAUUGGGCGUAAAGGGUGCGCAGGCGGUCUGUUAAGUCUGAAGGCAAAGGGAUGAGCUCAACUCAUUUAUGAUUCAGAAACUGGCAGACUUGAGGACAGGAGAGGGCGGUGGAACUCCAUGUGUAGCGGUAAAAUGCGCAGAGAUAUGGAAGAACACCAGUGGCGAAGGCGGCCGCCUGGCCUGUGACUGACGCUGAGGCACGAAAGCGUGGGGAGCAAAUAGGAUUAGAUACCCUAGUAGUCCACGCCGUAAACGAUGAGGAGCAGGUGUUGGGAGUGAAAUCUCAGUGCCGAAGCCAACGCAGUGACUCCUCCGCCUGGGGAGUAUGCACGCAAGUGUGAAACUCAAAGGAAUUGACGGGGGCCCGCACAAGCGGUGGAGUAUGUGGUUUAAUUCGAAGCAACGCGAAGAACCUUACCAGGUUUUGACAUCGGAUGCGAAGGCGCAGAGAUGCGCUGGAGGCUAUCAUCCAGACAGGUGGUGCAUGGUUGUCGUCAGCUCGUGUCGUGAGAUGUUCAGUUAAGUCUGGCAACGAGCGCAACCCCCGUGGUAUGUUACUAACGCUUUAGGGCGAGGACUCAUAUCAGACUGCCGGUGACAAACCGGAGGAAGGCGGGGAUGACGUCAAAUCAUCAUGCCCCUUAUGACCUGGGCUACACACGUACUACAAUGGCGUCUACAGAGGGAAGCGACCCUGAGAAGGGAAGCGAAACCGGAAAAGGGCGUCCCAGUUCGGAUUGAAGUCUGCAACCCGACUUCAUGAAGAUGGAAUCGCUAGUAAUCGCGGAUCAGCAUGCCGCGGUGAAUACGUUCCCGGGCCUUGUACACACCGCCCGUCAAACCAUGGAAGCCGGCAACGCCCGAAGCCGGUGGCAUAACCUUUUAGGAGUGAGCCGUCGAAGGCGGGGCCGAUGACUGGGGUUAAGUCGUAACAAGGUACCC